rnacentral:rRNA from 3 species
UCAAGCGAAUAAGCGCACACGGUGGAUGCCUAGGCGGUCAGAGGCGAUGAAGGACGUGGUAGCCUGCGAAAAGUGUCGGGGAGCUGGCAACAAGCUUUGAUCCGGCAAUAUCCGAAUGGGGAAACCCACUGCUUCGGCAGUAUCCUGCAGUGAAUUCAUAGCUGCUGGAAGCGAACCCGGUGAACUGAAAUAUCUAAGUAACCGGAGGAAAAGAAAUCAACCGAGAUUCCCUAAGUAGUGACGAGCGAACGGGGAGCAGCCCUUAAGCUGGAAUGGCUUUAGAAAAACAAUCUGGAAAGAUUGGCCAUAGAAGGUGAUAGCCCUGUAUUUAAAAGGGCCACUCCAGUGAAGACGAGUAGGGCGGGGCACGUGAAACCCUGUCUGAAUAUGGGGGGACCAUCCUCCAAGGCUAAAUACUCCUGACCGACCGAUAGUGAACCAGUACCGUGAGGGAAAGGCGAAAAGAACCCCGGAGAGGGGAGUGAAAUAGAUCCUGAAACCGUGUGCGUACAAGCAGUAGGAGCUCGCAAGAGUGACUGCGUACCUUUUGUAUAAUGGGUCAGCGACUUACUGUUCGUGGCAAGCUUAACCGUAUAGGGGAGGCGAAGGGAAACCGAGUCUGAUAAGGGCGCAUAGUCGCGGGCAGUAGACCCGAAACCGGGUGAUCUAGUCAUGGCCAGGGUGAAGGUGCCGUAACAGGUACUGGAGGCCCGAACCCACGUCUGUUGCAAAAGACGGGGAUGAGCUGUGAUUAGGAGUGAAAAGCUAAUCGAACCCGGAGAUAGCUGGUUCUCCUCGAAAGCUAUUUAGGUAGCGCCUCGGACGAAUACUACUGGGGGUAGAGCACUGUUAUGGCUAGGGGGUCAUCGCGACUUACCAAACCAUUGCAAACUCCGAAUACCAGUACGUACUAUCCGGGAGACACACGGCGGGUGCUAACGUCCGUCGUGAAAAGGGAAACAACCCAGACCCACAGCUAAGGUCCCAAAUUCACUGCUAAGUGGAAAACGAUGUGGAAAGGCAUAGACAGCCAGGAGGUUGGCUUAGAAGCAGCCACCCUUUAAAGAAAGCGUAAUAGCUCACUGGUCGAGUCGGUCUGCGCGGAAGAUUUAACGGGGCUAAGCAGUGAACCGAAGCUUGGGGUGCGUAAAACUUCGGUUUUAUGCGCGGUAGAGGAGCGUUCCGUAAGCCUGCGAAGGUGGAUUGAGAAGUCUGCUGGAGGUAUCGGAAGUGCGAAUGCUGACAUGAGUAACGAUAAUGCGGGUGAAAAGCCCGCACGCCGAAAGCCCAAGGUUUCCUUGCGCAACGUUAAUCGACGCAGGGUUAGUCGGUCCCUAAGGCGAGGGCGAAAGCCGUAGUCGAUGGGAAGCAGGUUAAUAUUCCUGCACCUCGCGUGAGUGCGAUGGAGGGACGGAGAAGGUUAGGUGUACCGGGCGUUGGUUGUCCCGGGGAAAGGCGGUAGGUUUGGAUCUUUGGCAAAUCCGGGAUCCUUUAAGACCGAGCACCGAGACGAGCCUUUAUGGCGAAGUCACUGAUACCACGCUUCCAGGAAAAGCUCCUAAGCUUCAGCUCACGAAGACCGUACCGUAAACCGACACAGGUGGGUAGGAUGAGAAUUCUCAGGCGCUUGAGAGAACUCGGGUGAAGGAACUAGGCAACAUGGCACCGUAACUUCGGGAGAAGGUGCACCCUUUUUGGUGGCUCAUGCGAGCUAUAGCUGAAGAGGGUCGCAGAAACCAGGCCGCUGCGACUGUUUAUCAAAAACACAGCACUCUGCAAACACGAAAGUGGACGUAUAGGGUGUGACGCCUGCCCGGUGCUGGAAGGUUAAUUGAUGGGGUCAGCCGCAAGGCGAAGCUCUUGAUCGAAGCCCCAGUAAACGGCGGCCGUAACUAUAACGGUCCUAAGGUAGCGAAAUUCCUUGUCGGGUAAGUUCCGACCUGCACGAAUGGCGUAACGACAGCGGCGCUGUCUCCACCCGAGACUCAGUGAAAUUGAAAUCGCUGUGAAGAUGCAGCGUUCCCGUGGCAAGACGGAAAGACCCCGUGAACCUUUACUAUAGCUUUACACUGAACGUUGAGUUCGUCUGUGUAGGAUAGGUGGGAGGCUAUGAAACUGUGGCGCUAGCUGCAGUGGAGCCAUCCUUGAAAUACCACCCUGUCGUGCUUGACGUUCUAACCUAGGUCCGUUAUCCGGAUCAGGGACCGUGUAUGGUGGGUAGUUUGACUGGGGCGGUCUCCUCCUAAAGAGUAACGGAGGAGCACGAAGGUACGCUCAGCGCGGUCGGACAUCGCGCACUGUGUGCAAAGGCAUAAGCGUGCUUGACUGCAAGAUCGACGGAUCAAGCAGGUACGAAAGUAGGUCUUAGUGAUCCGGUGGUUCUGUAUGGAAGGGCCAUCGCUCAACGGAUAAAAGGUACUCCGGGGAUAACAGGCUGAUACCGCCCAAGAGUUCAUAUCGACGGCGGUGUUUGGCACCUCGAUGUCGGCUCAUCACAUCCUGGGGCUGUAGUCGGUCCCAAGGGUAUGGCUGUUCGCCAUUUAAAGUGGUACGCGAGCUGGGUUCAGAACGUCGUGAGACAGUUCGGUCCCUAUCUGCCAUGGGCGUUGGAAGUUUGAGAGGGGCUGCUCCUAGUACGAGAGGACCGGAGUGGACGAACCUCUGGUGUUCCGGUUGUCACGCCAGUGGCAUUGCCGGGUAGCUAUGUUCGGAAGCGAUAACCGCUGAAAGCAUCUAAGCGGGAAGCGCGCCUCAAGAUGAGACUUCCCGGGGCACAAGCCCCCUAAAGGAACCAUGUAGACUACGUGGUUGAUAGGUCAGGUGUGUAAGUACAGCAAUGUAUUGAGCUAACUGAUACUAAUGAUCCGUGCGGCUUGACCAU